AUGGUUGUUGUGGUUGCCAGGAAAAUGGUUGUUGGGGCUGUGGAAAAGGUUGUUGUGGUUGUUGGGGUUGCUGGGGGAAUGGUUGUUGUGGUUGUAAGGGGGUCGGUUGUUGUGGUUGUUGGGGUUGCUGGGGGAAUGGUUGUUGUGGUUGUAAGGGGGUCGGUUGUUGGGGUUGGGGAUAUAAUUGUUGUGAUUGCUGGAGAAAUUGUUGUUGGGGUGUGGAAAAUGGUUGUUGUGAUGGAUAUGGUUGCUAUGAUGGAUAUGGUUGUUGUGGAUAUGGCUGUUGUGGAAAUGGUUGUUGUUGAUGGGAAAAUGAUUGUUGAGGUGAUUGUAACUCUUUGUUGCUAG
rnacentral:rRNA from 1 species